UGCGUAGGCGGGCUAAUAAGUCAGUGGUGAAAUCUUUCGGCACAACCGAGAAACUGCCAUUGAUACUGUUAGUCUUGAGUUCGGUUGAGGUAGGCGGAAUGUGUAAUGUAGCGGUGAAAUGCUUAGAUAUUACACAGAACACCAAUUGCGUAGGCAGCUUACUAGACCGACACUGACGCUGAGGCACGAAAGCGUGGGGAGCGAACAGGAUUAGAUACCCUGGUAGUCC
rnacentral:rRNA from 1 species